rnacentral:rRNA from 1 species
AUGUGUCCGAUGAGACCAAUGAUCGAACCGUCUAUAUAUGCGUGCUCCGUUCCACUCGCAUUCUCAUAUGACCUUCUCCAUUCUCGAACUGCAAAGCGAGGAGGCACAGCUCCGGUUAUAGUCAUGGCCGCCACGGAUGCCGUGGCGUGCCACCCUUCAAGGAGCGCCGGCGUGGCCAGGUGCUUUCCUCGGAGCACUGGCUUUCGGUCGGAGUGGCCGAGCAGCUGCGCCUGCGCGGUGCUCACCAUCAAAGGCGGCCUCGCUUCUCUUCCACUCUACCAACAGCCACGUCUCCCCCGCGACCAUGGCGUGGCCGUUGGUAGAGUAGGAGACGAGCAUGGCCACCUGUUCCCCGCCCUGAUGCCCAGCAAUCAAGGCGUGCCAGCGUACAGCCAGAAGGUCUACCCGGGCUGCCAAGCUCCACGCCGUGCUCUGCAUGGAGAAGCUUGUCCUGUGGUACAAUCCACAGGAACUACGACACGGUCGCCCUGUCUUAGUUUAUCUAUUGGGUAG